rnacentral:rRNA from 1 species
UACGUAGGGGGCAAGCGUUGUCCGGAAUCAUUGGGCGUAAAGAGCGUGUAGGCGGCCCGAUAAGUCCGCUGUGAAAGUCCAGGGCUCAACCCUGGAAUGCCGGUGGAUACUGUCGGGCUCGAAUCCGGAAGAGGUGAGUGGAAUUCCGGGUGUAGCGGUGGAAUGCGUAGAGAUCCGGGAAGAACACCGGUGGCGAAGGCGGUCUGCUGGGCUGUGGCUGACGCUGAGGCGCGACAGCGUGGGGAGCAAACAGG